AUUGAACGCUGGCGGCAGGCUUAACACAUGCAAGUCGAGCGGAGCGAGGGUGCUUGCACCUUAGCUUAGCGGCGGACGGGUGAGUAAUGCUUAGGAAUCUGCCUAUUAGUGGGGGACAACAUUCCGAAAGGAAUGCUAAUACCGCAUACGCCCUACGGGGGAAAGCAGGGGAUCUUCGGACCUUGCGCUAAUAGAUGAGCCUAUGUCGGAUUAGCUAGUUGUUGUGGUAAAGGCCUACCAAGGCGACGAUCUGUAGCGGGUCUGAGAGGAUGAUCCGCCACACUGGGACUGAGACACGGCCCAGACUCCUACGGGAGGAAGCAGUGGGGAAUAUUGGACAAUGGGCGGAAGCCUGAUCCAGCCAUGCCGCGUGUGUGAAGAAGGCCUUUUGGUUGUAAGCACUUUAAGCGAGGAGGAGGCUACUUAGAUUAAUACUCUGGGAUAGUGGACGUUACUCGCAGAAUAAGCACCGGCUAACUCUGUGCCAGCCGCCGCCGUAA
rnacentral:rRNA from 1 species